rnacentral:rRNA from 1 species
CACCCGCAGCACGAGUAGUGGUCACUUUUAUUGAGCCUAAAGCGUUCGUAGCCGGUUUUGUAAAUCUUCAGAUAAAGCCUGAAGCUUAACUCCAGAAAGUCUGAAGAGACUGCAAGACUUGAGAUCGGGUGAGGUUAAACGUACUUUCAGGGUAGGGGUAAAAUCCUGUAAUCCCGGAAGGACGACCAGUGGCGAAAGCGUUUAACUAGAACGAAUCUGACGGUAAGGAACGAAGGCUAGGGUAGCAAACCGGAUUAGAUACCCGGGUAGUCCUAGCUGUAAACAUUGCCCAUUUGAUGUUGCUUUUCCGUUGAGGGAAGGCAGUGUCGGAGCGAAGGUGUUAAAUGGGCCGCUUGGGAAGUAUGGUCGCAAGACUGAAACUUAAAGGAAUUGGCGGGGGAGCACCGCAACGGGAGGAGCGUGCGGUUUAAUUGGAUUCAACGCCGGAAAACUCACCGGGAGCGACCUUUGGAUGAGAGUCAGCCUGAUGAGCUUACUCGAUAGAAGGAGAGGUGGUGCAUGGCCGUCGUCAGCUCGUACCGUAGGGCGUUCACUUAAGUGUGAUAACGAGCGAGACCCCCAUCUCUAAUUGCUAACGUGCAUUCGCGUGUACGCGCACUUUAGAGGGACCGCCAGUGCUAAACUGGAGGAAGGAGGGGUCGACGGCAGGUCAGUACGCCCCGAAUCUCCCGGGCAACACGCGCGCUACAAAGGGCAGGACAAUGAGUUGCCACCUCGAAAGGGGGAGCUAAUCUCGAAACCUGUUCGUAGUUAGGAUUGAGGGCUGUAACUCGCCCUCAUGAAUGUGGAUUCCGUAGUAAUCGCGGGUCAACAGCCCGCGGUGAAUAUGCCCCUGCUCCU